GAUGAACGCUGACAGAAUGCUUAACACAUGCAAGUCAUUGGCGAAGCUGCGCUUGCGCAGUCUAGCCAAGGCGGACGGGUGAGUAACGCGUAAGGAACUUGCCCUGCAGACAGGGAUAACAGACGGAAACGACUGAUAACACCUGGUAUUGUCAGGCUGGCGCAUGCCGGCCUGAUGAAAGGAGACGCUGCAGGAGAGCCUUGCGUCCUAUUAGCUAGUUGGUGGGGUAACGGCCCACCAAGGCGAUGAUAGGUAGCCGGCCUGAGAGGGUGAACGGCCACAAGGGGACUGAGAGACGGCCCUUACUCCUACGGGAGGCAGCAGUGGGGAAUAUUGGACAAUGGGGGCAACCCUGAUCCAGCAAUUCUGUGUGCACGAAGAAGGUUUUCGGAUUGUAAAGUGCUUUCAGCAGGGAAGAAGAAAGUGACGGUACCUGCAGAAGAAGCGACGGCUAAAUACGU
rnacentral:rRNA from 1 species